AUUGAACGCUGGCGGCAUGCCUUACACAUGCAAGUCGAACGGCAGCACGGGAGCAAUCCUGGUGGCGAGUGGCGAACGGGUGAGUAAUGCAUCGGAACGUGCCAUUGAGUGGGGGAUAACGUAGCGAAAGUUACGCUAAUACCGCAUAUUCUGUGCGCAGGAAAGCAGGGGAUCGCAAGACCUUGCGCUCUUUGAGCGGCCGAUGUCAGAUUAGCUAGUUGGUGAGGUAAAGGCUCACCAAGGCGACGAUCUGUAGCGGGUCUGAGAGGAUGAUCCGCCACACUGGGACUGAGACACGGCCCAGACUCCUACGGGAGGCAGCAGUGGGGAAUUUUGGACAAUGGGGGCAACCCUGAUCCAGCCAUGCCGCGUGAGUGAAGAAGGCCUUCGGGUUGUAAGCUCUUUCGGCCGGGAAGAAAUCGCACAGGUUAAUACCCUGUGUGGAUGACGGUACCGGACUAAGAAGCACCGGCUAACUACGUACG
rnacentral:rRNA from 1 species